UAACACGUAGGUAACCUGCCCAUGUGCCCGGGAUAACUUCUGGAAACGGAUGCUAAAACUGGAUAGGUAGCAGACAAGCAUUUGACUGCUAUUAAAGUGGCUAAGGCCAUGAACAUGGAUGGACCUGCGGUGCAUUAGCUAGUUGGUGAGGUAACGGCCCACCAAGGCGACGAUGCAUAGCCGGCCUGAGAGGGCGGACGGCCACAUUGGGACUGAGACACGGCCCAAACUCCUACGGGAGGCAGCAUG
rnacentral:rRNA from 1 species